GGGUUUGUAGCUCAGUUGGUAGAGCAAUGGCCUUUUAAGCCACUGGUCCAGGGUUCGAUUCCCUGCAAACCCA
rnacentral:tRNA from 1 species